CCUACGGGAGACAGCAGUGGGGAAUAUUGCACAAUGGGGGGAACCCUGAUGCAGCGACGCCGCGUGGGUGAAGGAGUAUUUCGGUAUGUAAAGCCCUAUCAGCAGGGAAGAACAAUGACGGUACCUGACUAAGAAGCACCGGCUAAAUACGUGCCAGCAGCCGCGGUAAUACGUAUGGUGCAAGCGUUAUCCGGAUUUACUGGGUGUAAAGGGAGCGCAGGCGGCGCGUUAAGCCUGGUGUGAAAGUCCGCGGCCCAACCGCGGGACUGCAUUGGGAACUGGCGCGCUGGAGUGCCGGAGGGGUAGGCGGAAUUCCUAGUGUAGCGGUGAAAUGCGUAGAUAUUAGGAGGAACACCAGUGGCGAAGGCGGCCUACUGGACGGUGACUGACGCUGAGGCUCGAAAGCGUGGGGGGCAAACAGGAUUAGAUACCCCAGUAGUC
rnacentral:rRNA from 1 species